GGAGCCUCCAAUAGUCAACCAAGGUAGCACUGCGGUUCCACUACCCGAUGGCACUGUUCAUUUUGGUUCACUACCUUCUCCACCGGUGGUCUCAGCUAUUGAGGAUACCUCAUCCACUAUGGCCAGAUUUGAGGAUUAACGCUUGAUACGGCUUCUAUUGUGACUACUUCUCUCCAAACAAGGCUUACAAACCAAAGAUGUGGACUGAAGCCUAGACUGGAUGGUUUACUGAGAUAUAUUGGAGGUGCAGUUCCUUACCGACCGGCUGAGGUUUGGCAUUUUCAGUUUUGAAUGUGGGUUAGCAAACUGUGAGGCUCUCAUAGUUAUUUUGAUUACUGAAAUUUUCAUCCGAUUGAGCUCAAACAUUUGUGUCACUUGCAAAGAACUGACGAGAACUGUCCAAGUAAAGCAACUAUCAGAUCUAGCCAGUGAGAGAGAGAUUCACGAGUUCUUCUCAUUUUAUGGAGAGAUCGAACGCAUUCAGAUCCAAC